rnacentral:rRNA from 1 species
UACGGGGGGGGUAAGCGUUGUUCGGAAUUACUGGGCGUAAAGGGCUCGUAGGCGGCCAACUAAGUCAUACGUGAAAUCCCUCAGCUUAACUGGGGAACUGCGUGUGAUACUGGAUGGCUUGGAUUUGGGAGAGGGAUGCGGAAUUCCAGGUGUAGCGGUGAAAUGCGUAGAUAUCUGGAGGAACACCGGUGGCGAAGGCGGUUCUCUGGGCCUUACCUGACGCUGAGGAGCGAAAGCGUGGGGAGCGAACAGG